rnacentral:rRNA from 1 species
AGCGUAGGCGGACUUUUAAGUGAGAUGUGAAAUACCCGGGCUCAACUUGGGUGCUGCAUUUCAAACUGGAAGUCUAGAGUGCAGGAGAGGAAAGCGGAAUUCCUAGUGUAGCGGUGAAAUGCGUAGAUAUUAGGAGGAACACCAGUGGCGAAGGCGGCUUGCUGGACGACAACUGACGCUGAGGCGCGAAAGCGUGGGGAGCAAACAGGAUUAGAUACCCCCGUA